rnacentral:rRNA from 1 species
GACGAACGUCCAACGUGUCGGAAUCACUGGGCUUAAAGGGCGCGUAGGCUGUUCGUUAAGUCGUGGGUGAAAUCUUUCGGCUCAACCGGAAAAUUGCCCUCGAUACUGGCGAGCUAGAGGGAGAUAGGGGCAGCGGGAACUACCAGUGGAGCGGUGAAAUGCGUUGAUAUUGGUAGGAACGCCGGUGGCGAAAGCGCGCUGCUGGACCUCUCCUGACGCUGAGGCGCGAAAGCUAGGGGAGCAAACGGGAUUAGAAACCCGGGUAGU